rnacentral:rRNA from 1 species
AUGGUAGCGGCAGCAAGAGAGCAUUCACUUCCUCCUUGUCUCAAGAUUCUAAGAAUAUGGUCAUGUGCUGGCAUGUUGGGCGGAGUUCUCCGUCUGCCCACGCCCCUCAUGGAACUGCGCAUUCGAAGCAACAGUGGGUUGACAUCGCUGGAGUUUCUGUGUGGAGAGCACCCCCCAUCGUUGGAAACCCUUUGUCUUGAAAGCUGCAGUACAUUGGCAUCCCUACCUAAUGAGCCACGGGCAGACGGAUCUCUCAAGCAGCUUGUAAUUGGAGGCUGUCCAGCUAUGAAGAAGCUCCCUGGAUGCCUGCAGCAGCAACUGGGCAGCAUUGAUGAUAAAAAGCUAGAUGCCCGUUAUGAAGUGUUUGCACUCAAACCAAAGACAUGGAAAAAAAUACCAAGAAUAGUCCGUAAGUGGAGGCAGGCCGCUCGACAGGCUGCUCAGGAAGCCAUGGAACGCCAGAGAUACAUGCAGGAGUAA